AUGCGCGUCCCGCUGCACCGCUUCUUCCGCGAGGUGCUCGCCCACUUCGGCAUCGCGCCAGCGCAGCUCACGCCCAACGGGUGGCGCACCAUGGCGGGCUUCCUGGUGCUCUGCCGCUCCGCCGGCGUGCCGCCUUUGCUCGCGGUGUUCCGGCGUUUCUUUGUGAUGUCCAGCCUCUGCGAGGAGCACGAGAAAGGCUGGUACGUUUUCCGGCCCAGGCGGGACAGCUCCGGCUUGCGCUUGAGGGGUUUGCCGAAGCCGGAUGCCAACUCCAUCACGUGGAAACACGAGUUCUUCUUCCUCUCGUCGCCGGAGUCGUGGCCUUGCGCCGUGGAGUGGAGCGAGCGGUCCAACCGCUCCUCCAGCAACCCGGUACCGGUGCUCACCGUUGAGGAAAGCCAGUCGAUGCUGAAGCUGCUAAGUGCUCACGGUGGCGCCGCUGUUGAUCUCAGGAAACUGCUCCCUGCUACGUGCCCACGGCGGCGGCGGACCGCCGCCGCCGCCGCCGCCGCCUUCCUCAACUCGUAUGACUUCCUGUUCCAAAUCCCUCUGAUUCCCCUGUUUCAUCGAGCCCUGAGGAUGGUGUUGCGUGCUAUCUAG
rnacentral:rRNA from 1 species